rnacentral:antisense_RNA from 1 species
AUCUGCAUCCGGAAGGAAAGGCGAGGCUCUGCAUCUAGAUUUACUUCGUUCUCUUUCGUCUCCGCUUUUUUCCCCACAUUUCCUUGCGCCCCUGGCCCUUGGGCGACAAAAAGGGGAAGCCAGGGCUGGCCUGAGGAACGGAGAGGGCACAUGGCCUAACCACGAGUGGAGCUUCUGCUCCGCCCGAAGGGAUGCGCUGGAGCGGCCUCUUCCUUCCGUCACGGUCUUUCUUUGCCAACUAGUAGUAGAGAUGGGGUUUUACCAGGUUAGCCAGGCUGGUCUUGAACUCCUGACCUCAAGGGAUCCGCCUGCCUCAGCUUUCCAAAGUGCUGGGAUUACAGGUGGAGACUGGACCUCAGAGAGGGAGUGGGUGCCCUGAGAACUCACAGCUGGCGGACAGCGGAAAGGGCAGAACCCGGACCAAGGUGAGGACAGCGGAACUGAAGUUCUGCUGGUUACCUCUCCUGCCCUCCGCUGGCCGCACUGGAGAAGACAGCCCCUCCCUCCUGCUCUGACCUGACAGUGUUCAUCCAUCGCCCUCU